ensembl:lncRNA
UCUCAGGAUGGUGAGUCUCCUGACCCCUAGUGUAAUGUCCUUCCCACCACCACAGAGCUGAUUUGUGAAAACCAGACACCAACACUUGGAUUCUGAAAUUCCAACCUCACUUGAACGAAGUUUACAAAGCGUUUGGUGGUCUGUCUUCCUGAGAUCAGGCUUAUCUUGGAGUCAGGACUCUCCUGAAGAAGGAACACACUUUGGGACUUCAGGCCAGUUUGGGGCCCCUCCACUUCUCCCAGCGGCCUGGAUGCCUCAUUUGCAUGUGGCGUUAGCCAAGCUAAUCAAAGAGCAGGGAUUAAAUAUGAUCGCUGUGAGAUGACAUUGCAAGAGCAGGCUGGAUACAUUUUCAAGUGGCCCAACCUUUGGAGGUGAAUGCUGUUGGGAGAGGUGGCUUCUACUCCUGGAGGGCAACAAAAGCUUCCUGACUCAUCUUCCUGCCUGGCCCCUCUCUAGUCUAUUCUCAGUCCAGUGGGUUAGAUGGUUCUGCUAAGAUACCAAUGGAUCAUGUAAGUCCUUUACCCCAAACCCUCCAUGGCUUCCGUCUCAGUACAAUAACUUGCAGGCACCACCCAAUCUGUCCUUCCCUACCUCUCUGACCUCAUCUCUUAGCACGCCCUCCCCUCUUUCCACUUCCACUCAGGAAUUCCUUAUUACGUUCCUUAAACACACCAGGCUUGCUCCUGCCCCCGACAUGGUCCUUGCUGAUUCUGUAACAGUGAAACAGCCAAAGAACUAACUAACAAAGCCUUUUAUUUUUUUCGUUUUUAUUUUUGAGACAGUCCCACUCUAUCACCCAGGAUGGAGUGCAGUGGCACGAUCUCGGCUCACUGCAGCCUUGCCUCCUGGGUUUAAGCGAUUCUCCUGCCUCAGCCUCCUAAGUAGCUAGGAUUACAGGUGCCCACCACCACGCCCAGCUAAUUUUUGUAGUUUUAGUACAGAUGGGGUUUCACCAUGUUGGCCACGCUGGUCUUAAACUCCUGACCUCCAGUGAUCUGCCUGCCUUGGCCUCCCAAAGUGCUGGGAUUACAUGCAUGAGCCACCAUGCCUGGCAAUGAGGCCCUUUAGUUAGCUGCACGGUUUAGUUUGAGGAGCUAUUCCUGCAUAUACGCUAGGAUAAUUUUAGAGCACUGAGGUAAUAUGCUAAAACAGUAAUCAUGUAGUUUUAAAAACUAAUUCUGGGAUGAAGGGGGAAGUAUGUAAACAACUAUGUUUUGUUAAAGAUUUAUAGGAGCAUUGUGACCUGACCAAGGACAAGGAGGUUCUCAGACGCAUGCUGGUGCCCAGAUGUCUGCGGCUGUGGAUCAGCCCUGCGGUCAUUGAUCCCAGCCUCUCUCUCUUCUCCCUGCCCUGAACAUAAAAAGAACCUGAAAUUUGUACUGACUUAAGAUGGUACCUUGGGAUGCUAAUCUACCAUCUUCUUUGUUUGUUAUUAUUUAAGAAACCUUAAGUUAUUUGAGGGAAGAGAUAGGAUUUCCAAACUCUCAUACAACUUAGUUCUGGUUACACAGUAGGCACUUAAAAAUACAUGAAAUAAUGAUGUAAAUUUAUUUGAAAAAUGUAAAAAAAGCUGUAAGUGAUAGGAAUCCUAUGGUGAACUACCUUAUCAAGUGAUAAUUAUUUUCUGUUUGGAUUUUGGUCCAGGUCUAGGUGGUCUACACCGGUGGUUUGUAAACUUGGGUGUGGGUCAGAAUCACUCCAGGAAUUUGGUAAAUAGACAGAGGCCAGGGCCCUAUCCUACUUGAAUGAGCCCUGGGGUCUGUGUUCUUUAUUGGUGCUCCAGGUGGUUCUGAUACAGGGGCCCAUACAUUAGGCGUUCUUAAAAUGUGUUCACCUGUAGGUAAUUCUUUGCGUGUUCCAGAGAUGAAGAGAUACAGGCAUGAAAACUGGGGAAGAGCCCCAUGACUGUGAGGAAGGAAGGGAUUUCUUGGGACCCUCUUAGUUGAGUUUGUUUUUCUCCCCAUUUCUUUGGCUUAUCUGUGGGAACUUCAUCACAUAACUGCUUUCUCACUUUUUCUUCAUUCUCCUUGCCCCACCCUACCCCAGGUGUUCUCACUGUUACCCUUUCCACAAAUGGAUACAGAAAUAGCCAGAACCACCCAAAAGAGAAACAGAGAAGAGUAAAAUGGGUUUUUAAACUAUGCCUCCAUUUUUGAACACUUGAAAAACAGGCCAUUCAUAGUCUUUCUUGUAUGAUUAAGAACUCCAUUAGUACCAUUAGCACGUUAUAAGUAGUGACUUGGAACAAAGUAGGUGUAUCAUAAUCCUUCCUCGAAUAAGGAAAUAACUAACAGCCCCGAAAGAUGCCUUCGAUUGAAUAGGAUCAACUUGGUUUUAUUCUUUGCAGAAGUGAUUUCUCUAUAUUGGGAGGCACUUUGUUGAUUCAUUCAAUAUUUAUUAAGCACUUUCUGUAUUCCAAGCAACAAUAAAUAAAACAAAUUAUUUCAUUGAUUAAGUUCUAGUAUUAGCAGUCUAUUAGCAAUCUUGUGUUUGGGUACUUGGUUCUUAUUGGCUCACACCUAUGGUAAAUGUGUUAAUUAUUUUCUCUUGUAAGAAUUCCCUGUUUUUGUAGUGGGAAGUGAAAAAAAAUUCCCGGGAGGUUACACCCUUUGAAGGACACACAGUUUCCCCUCCUAGGGGCUGCCUGGCUCUUUGGUAAGUCCCAAUCUUGGUCUUCAAGGUCUGUCUCGCUUCCUGUCUAACUCUCAAAGCAACCAG